rnacentral:lncRNA from 1 species
CCCUCCGCGAGCCCCGCCCCUCCGCGAGCCCCGCCCCCUCCUGAGCCCCGCCCUCAUCCCGCCCCCGCAGCCUCGCGGGAGUUAGCGGAGCCCCCGGGGCAUCCCCGGAGAGGGCGAGCCCGGGAGGCUCCCGGGGGGCGGCGGCCGGUCCCAAGCCCGCGGCGGCGAGGGGAAGGCCCCUGCUGGCGGGCGGGGUCCUGGCGCUCCCUUGCGGACUGACCCGGUUCCUCGAGAAGGUAACGACAGCGUCUCCGGUGUCCGCUCCUCGGGCCGGGGCCGCCUCCCCCGCGGGGGCCGCCUGGGGGCGCUGGUUCCGAAGCCCGCCGGGCCGCGGAGCGCCUUCGCCAGGCCCCGGGGUGCAGCAGCCGCGCCGCGAAGCCCGCCCCCCCCGCGAGUGUGCUCGGUGACCGACGCGGAAGAUCGCUGCCUUCUCUCUGCCUAGGACCGUGUCUGUGGCCGCUCACCCAGCCCGCCCUCUUCGGCCCGCUGGGACUGACAGGUCCCUGAGGUCUCCAAAACUACGAGAUCAAAGAGGAGGAAGAGUCUGCAUUCUCUACAUUUGCCUUUGGAGAAUGCAGGAAUCAGAGAUUUGGCCCCUGCGACUGAUUUUAAGUGUCCCUCCGAGUGUCCCGGGGUGCAGCUUUGUGGAGACUCCGGAGGAAGACUCUGGUCUUGGGAUUGGGGUCCCACAGCGUGGGUGAGAGAGGGGUUUGCUUUUUUGGUUUUGGUUUUCCUCUUCGGAGCUAGGCGAGGAAUCGCAUCUAGUGAGGGUCUGCCGCAGAAGCAAGUCUCAGCCAAUGUUGAGAGCAAAGAUUUCAAAAAGCUGAAAGUACUGAUGUUCAUUCAGCCCAAAGAAGCCAAGAAAAAUCUCAGAGAGCCAUGUGAGUGGGAAGAAGUGGUUGCCAUGUCUGGGUUGCUGGUUUUGCUCCAUUCAAAUUGUGCCUUCAGAGUCUAAUGAGUAAGUAAUUUCUCCCUGGACUUUUGUGUGUGUGUGUGUGUGUGUGUGGUAAAACAUGCAUAACAUAAAAUUUACCAUUUUAACCAUUUUUUAGUGUACAAUUGAGUGGCAUUAAGUACAAUGUGUUGUUAUGCAACCAUUGCCACUGUCUUUCUCUAGAACUUUUUUUGUCAUCCCCAAAUGAAUCUCUGUACCCAUUGAACACUAACUCCCCAUUCCCACCCCAUCUUCCCCUUUCCCUGGCACCCUCUAUUGUACUUUCUGUCUCUAUGAAUUUGAUUAUUUCAGGUAGCUCAUAUCAGUAGAAUCAUAAUAUUUGUCCUUUUGUGUCUGGCUUAUUGCACUCACAUAAUGUCCUCACUAGAUUUUAAAAGUCUUAGCCUCCUUUUGCUAAGGUCUUAGAUCUUUUACUUGGACCUUAAACUCUGACAUUUUAAAAGCAUAGAAAUAGCUUUGAUCUUAGGGAGUUCAUAAUAUUUCAGCACAGCAUAAUAUAAGAUGACAAAGCAGCAUACAGUGUGUGCAGAAGUCCUGUCUAGUCUCCAGGACAAAGGUAUGAAUGUCCUGGAUUAUUUGCUGUGGUUUAUCUCGCCCUGUUCCCUCAGAUGAUGAGGAUAGCAUAAAGGUAGUCAUUUAUCCACCUUUUCAUGGGUUAUUAUUUUUUCUUUCUAUUCAUUCUAUUCAAGCUGGAUAGUAAAUAUAAACAGCAAGUGAUUUUUAAAUAAUCUCAGUUUAUCUUUAUAUUAGAGCAGGUUCAUUUGCAGCCUUCUUUGGAGCUUCUCCCGUGUGAUCCAAAACUAGCCCCCAUACACAGAGGGCAGGAAGACUGAAGAUAGAGGCAGGCCACUCCUGAUGGAGAGGUGGCUGGUUUAAUAAGCAAUAGAACUUCUAUACAAGGGGAUCCCUGGGGUAGCUCAGCGGUUUAGCGCCGCCUUCACCUCAGGGUGUGAUCCUGGAGACCUGGGAUUGAGUCUCACAUCAGGCUCCUGCAUGGAGCCUGCUUCUCCCUCUGCCUGUGUCUCUUGCCUCUCUCUCUCUCUCUUUCUCUCUCUCUCUCUCAUAAAUAAAUAAAAUCUUAAGAAAAACAACAACAAACUUCUAUACGAGGCCUGUCUUGGGUGGUCUUAAGAUGUAGAUCUCCAUACCUGCCUGCCAAGUCUUAAAAGCUUACAUAAAGGCGUUAACUAGGUGCAGUCACAAAUUUUCCACACCACAUUACUGUCCUCAAGGCUAUGCUUUUGAGGGCAGCUUCUGGGAGCAAGAAAGGCAAGCAGGAUGCACAAUCCGAGGACAGGGGACAGGUGAGGAGCUUCUGACCGCUGCGGUCCAGCUCAUAGAUCACGUUCUCUCAAUGAUCUCCCCCAAUAAAGCAGGAAGAACUCGAAUCUUCACAGCCUCUUAUUAUAAUGAACAGGCCAAUCACAUGACUGACCUAUAUUAAUGGUUUUCUCUGCAUCCAAACAUUUUUAUGAAUAGUUGCUCUGAAGGAUGGAGCCACUUGGUAGAAUAGUCAUAUGAAAAGUCAUCACAUCUCACUCAGCAGCUUCAUCUGGAAAGAACCUGAAUUUCCCACCCACUCUAUUAUCUUCCUUUCUUAAAUACUUAUUUGUUCAAAAAAUAUUUCUUGAGUUCCUAAUUACAUGUCAGGCAAUGCAUUAGGGCCCACAACAAACAAAAUAGGUGUGGUAUCUACUCUUAUACAACCUAAUGGGUUUAAUAUUGGUUAUUGAUUAUAUAGUUGAUUUCUGGUUCACAUAGUUGCUGGUGCUGAAUUCACAGGCUAUUAAGUGGAUCAGAUAUUCUUUUUUUUUUUUUUUACAUGGGGUAUUUCCACUUAAAGGGGGCUAACCAACUGCUGCCAAGCUGCCCCCACAAAGUGAUAAAAUUCCUGUUGGGCAGGUCUGAUGGUUGACUUGCAGUUCUAGAAUUUUCCAUGCCAUUGCCUCCUGAGACAAGAGGAGAGGACAGACUGAUGCUAACUUCCAAGAGAAUGGAGUAUAUCUGAAUGUUGAUUUAUUACUUUUGAUGGGGACUGUCCCUUUCCUUUUUAAGUCACUAAAAUAUUCAUUUUUAUCAUUUAAUGAAUCCUUCCUGGAUCAGGGUGCAUGAAAGGCU